AUGNGAUAAAGGCAGCCUAUCUGAGUAC
rnacentral:piRNA from 1 species